GUGCUUCUGUGAUGUUUUAGCACUGGGCUCUGAACUCAUGUGAAGACACAGUGCAGUUCUGCUCCUGACAUGGCAGAAUCUGAGAAGUGC
ensembl:snoRNA